rnacentral:rRNA from 1 species
AUUGAACGCUGGCGGCAGGCCUAACACAUGCAAGUCGAGCGAGGGGCGGAAGGGUGAGUAAUGCCUGGGAAUUGCCCAGUCGAGGGGGAUAACAGGUGGGAACGAAAGCUAAUACUCCAUACGAGUGGAUUUCCCUGGGGGGAGUAGCUAGGUGGUGUGGUAAUGGCUCACUAAGGCGACGAUCCCUAGCUGGUCUGAGAGGAUGAUGAGCCACACUGGAACGGAGACACGGUCCAGACUCCUACGGGAGGCAUCAGUGGGGAAUAUUGGACAAUGGGGGAAACCCUGAUGCAGCCAUGCCGCGUGGGUGAAGAAGGCCUUCGGGUUGGAAAGCACUUUCAGCGGGGAGGCGUUACUCGCAGAAUAAGCACCGGCUAACGCCGUGCCAGCCGCCGCGGUAAUUC